rnacentral:lncRNA from 1 species
AGGUAUGCUGGCUGUAUGGGAAAGGCUGAUAUUCUUAUGCCUACGAAUUUGUAAUGUCACCUAACAAGAAUAUGGACAUAGCUUAAAGAGAGAUAUUUUUAGUUCUCCUUAGAAAAUAAAAAUAAAUAGGAAACAAGAGCAUCAGUGCAAAAUCAAUGUGGUUUGCCUGAAAUUUUUCCGCAGAAUUUAAUUUUAAUGUUAAAUGAUACCUCUUUCAUCAUCAUAGUAGUUGCAUAUUACAAUUGCUACUCACUCAUCAAGUCACCAUUUCUGUCAUUCCCAUAUUGAUUCCAUAUUAUUUUGAUUUGCAGUUACCAGCCCCAAUGACACAGCUCAGCAAUGCAGAUCUCUCUUCAUGUCGAAGUGAUCACAAGCUUAUUUGCACCAUAUAUUUAUUAAGUUCACAUUUAUUAGUGAUCUUUGACUAAAUGCUUUUUGGCAUUUUUUCAUGACAAUUACAUCCAGCCAUUUUUCCUUCCAAGUCCAAACAGAUUGUACUGCUCCACUCUAUACUCACAAAUUUUCAGAUUACAUGUAUACAUUGGCGAAAAUAAAUGAGAAUUACCUGUUUUACUUUACCCCGUGUUAAAUGAGCUGUUCCUUGAGACGGUGAUGUAAUAAAAGAUGAUAAUUAUGCAUUGCCGUUGUUAGCUAUUGUCUGCAAAUUCAUGAGAAAUUUGGGCACAAGGUGUCCGAAGGCAUCUGUAAGUACCUUUCCAGCAGCUGCUUCAAAUACUUUGGACGGAACGGAAGCUAAGGAAGUUGUUUGUAUGUGAGCAUGCUGAAAAUUGUUUUAUCACCUCAGAUUAAAAAAAAAAACCCCCGCCUCAAAUCCAAGUUGGUUUUUACCAUCUUUGACUGAACUAUGAUACUAAACAUAGACCCUUUGUAAUGGAUUAAUGCUGACUGAAAUUUUUAACAGCUACUCUUCCUAAUUAUAAGAUAUUUAGGCUUUUCUACAUACGUUGUUUUUAUUAUGCAUUUAGAUAUACAUUAUAUCUAAAUAUAUAGUAAAGACAAUCUAAAAAGCCAAAAUGUCUUUAAUUUAGAAUGGAAAAAGUAAAAUAAAGCAUUUUCAUGAAAACACACGAAAACGUUAUGUAGAUUUGGAAUAGCAGUCACUAUUUUUCAGCCGGGACAUUCACGGGGAUGUGGGCUUUCCACCCGGGAAAAGCUUUUAUUAAUUUUCAAAACAAUUAGCAUUGCGCAUCUAGAAAAGUCAAAACAUAAGUAUUUACUAUUCAGGGAAAAGCGUUCGUUUUUCAAAACAAUUAGCAUUGAUGACACAGCAAUCUCAACACUGGAGUUCUAAUUGACUAAUAAUUUUAGAUGCUAAUUAUAACUGAAAACAGCCCCCGUGUAAGUGAUACGAUAAUAAAACAACAGCGUUACAGGUUCCAAACUUGUAUUAUAUCUUGUUCUAUAAAAUCUGGCCAAAUUGUGAGGCAUGACUAAUCAAAUGAACUGUGAGAAUCUGCGUUGGAGCACAUGUUUUUACAAACACAAUACCAAUCUCAAGUAUAUUUGCUUGCCAUUCUCACUGACUACAAAGAUUCGUCCAGACGAUUUGAGCCAUCGACCAAGAAAGUACACAAAUAAUCACAGUACAGGUCUUUUUAGAGUUUUUAUGGCGAUGCCCUCAUCUUUCAAUUAUCAUUAAAAGACCAAGUAUGUUCAUUACAGCACUGGAGUGGCAUACCACUCAGGAAAAGAGUUUAAGCCAAGAGAACCCAACGUAACCAUUCACCAGCUAAGAAGACUAAAGGGAACGCCAAAACAGAUAGUUUGAUGAACCACCUCUGGGAACCUCAAACACCAAACAGCCGCAGAAACUCAACUAGCAAAUAGGCUUCUGAAAAGCAGGCUUCAGCUGAUGCACGCUUCAACCAUCUCCUGAGAGGCAGCUUCAACUGAUGCAGGUCCCCAACGUUCCCAGCAACUCCAAUUUCCUCAGGCACGACUCUUGCUCAGCAGCAAGCUUUCCUGGCAAGCAAGGACUUGGAGCUGCCUACACGGUUACACCUCACAUAUUAGGCAAAUCAUCAUUAGCAAGAAAAUUGUAAGCACAUUUCUCCAUCUAUGUUCUGCGAAAUAAAAUAAAUAUGGACAACUUCAUUCAAGAACAAUACCCACCAGGAAAAAAAAUGCAUAUACAUUGUUCAAAAUGUUGUUAAAUGCUUUGUGCAUAAAGCUCAGUAAAGCCUGUAUAUCUCAUUCCAAUGUAGGACCCCAAGUUGGUUCUCCCUCAAAAUCAGGGACUUGGAGUGAUCUACGUCUAAUUCAAAGGGCGAUUCAUCAUUGCCUAGUAAAAGAUUAUCAUAUAAUAUAACAGACUUGCCAAUGCAACCAAGGAAAUUGAAAGCUGAUGCUACUCAACUUAUCAUAACAAUAACCAUCGAAUAUUAAACAAGCUGAGGACAAGUAAUCGUAGUUGGUUGAUUUAGUGAGAGAUUUUAGAAGCAAUGCCACGACAAGAAACAGUAAGCUUCCACGUUAAACUCACCAAUAAUUGUUAUGUGCCUCCAUGACUGGGCUGCCUUGAGAGUGAACAUUCUCAAGAAACCAAAGGUGAGGAGAGGCACAUUGACAUAUAUGAAACUACAAAUUCGAUCUCUCAACCAAAAUCUCUCUUCAUGUCACAGCUCGGCAAUGCAGAACUCUCUUCAUGUCGAAGUGAUCUCUAGUUUAUUUGCACCCUAUAUUUAUUAAGUUCACAUUUAUCAAGUGACCUUUGACUAAAUGCUUUUUGGCAUCUUUUUCAUGACA